AUCCAGCUGACGAGUCCCAAAUAGGAAGGAACGUACAUGCUGGAU
rnacentral:hammerhead_ribozyme from 1 species